AUUGAACGCUGGCGGCAUGCCUUACACAUGCAAGUCGAACGGCAGCACGGGAGCAAUCCUGGUGGCGAGUGGCGAACGGGUGAGUAAAGUAUCGGAACGUGCCCAGUCGUGGGGGAUAACGUAGCGAAAGUUACGCUAAUACCGCAUACGAUCUAUGGAUGAAAGCGGGGGAUCGCAAGACCUCGCGCGAUUGGAGCGGCCGAUAUCAGAUUAGGUAGUUGGUGGGGUAAGGCUCACCAAGCCGACGAUCUGUAGCUGGUCUGAGAGGACGACCAGCCACACUGGGAAGGAGACACGGCCCAGACUCCUACGGGAGGCAGCAGUGGGGAAUUUAGGACAAUGGGCGCAAGCCUGAUCCAGCCAUGCCGCGUGCAGGAUGAAGGCCUUCGGGUUGUAAACUGCUUUUGUACGGAACGAAAAGGUUUGACUUAAUACGUUGGACUCAUGACGGUACCGUAAGAAUAAGCACCGGCUAACUACGUGCCAGCAGCCGCCGUAACAC
rnacentral:rRNA from 1 species